GGCCAGACUCCUACGGGAGGCAGCAGUGAGGAAUAUUGGUCAAUGGCCGAAGGGCUGAACCAGCCAAGCCGCGUGAAGGAAUAAGGCCCUACGGGUCGUAAACUUCUUUAGUCAGGGAACAAAGGGUGCCACGUGUGGCGCUGUGAGUGUACCUGAAGAAUAAGCAUCGGCUAACUCCGUGCCAGCAGCCGCGGUAAUACGGAGGAUGCGAGCGUUAUCCGGAUUUAUUGGGUUUAAAGGGUGCGUAGGCGGGACCUUAAGUCAGCGGUAAAAUUGCGGUGCUCAACGCCGUAGAGCCGUUGAAACUGGGGUUCUUGAGUGAGCGAGAAGUAUGCGGAAUGCGUGGUGUAGCGGUGAAAUGCAUAGAUAUCACGCAGAACCCCGAUUGCGAAGGCAGCAUACCGGCGCUCAACUGACGCUGAGGCACGAAAGUGUGGGUAUCGAACAGGAUUAGAUACCCGCGUA
rnacentral:rRNA from 1 species